GCAGACUCACUCUGCACCCAGCUGCAGCCCCAGGCGGUGCCUUUUCCGUCUGUCAGAGAAAUAUUCCUGGUGCUGUGGCUGCUUCACCUGUCAAGGGCAGUGCAGCUCUCUGGGGACAUGGGG
ensembl:snoRNA